rnacentral:rRNA from 1 species
CAGCAGCCACGGUAAUACGUAGGUGGCAAGCGUUGUCCGGAAUUAUUGGGCGUAAAGGGCUCGCAGGCGGUUUCUUAAGUCUGACGUGAAAGCCCCCGGCUCAACCGGGGAGGGUCAUCGGAAACUGGGAAACUUGAGUGCAGAAGAGGAGAGUGGAAUUCCACGUGUAGCGGUGAAAUGCGUAGAGAUGUGGAGGAACACCAGUGGCGAAAGCACUCUGCUGGGCCGACACUGACACUGAGAGACGAAAGCUAGGGGAGCAAAUGGGAUUAGAUACCCCAGUAGUCCCUGUCUCUUAUAU